UAAAAACCCCGACUUCGGRAGGGGUGUAUUUAUUAGAUACAAAACCAAUGCCCUUCGGGGCUCUUUGGUGAUUCAUGAWAACUAUACGAAUCGCACGGCCUUGCGCCGGCGAUGGUUCAUUCAAAUUUCUUCCCUAUCAACUUUCGAUGUUUGGGUAUUGGCCAAACAUGGUUGCAACGGGUAACGGAGGGUUAGGGCUCGMCCCCGGAGAAGGAGCCUGAGAAACGGCUACUACAUCCAAGGAAGGCAGCAGGCGCGCAAAUUACCCAAUCCCGACUCGGGGAGGUAGUGACAAUAAAUACUGAUACAGGGCCCUUUCGGGCCUUGUAAUUGGAAUGAGUACAAUUUAAAUCCCUUAACGAGGAACAAUUGGAGGGCAAGUCUGGUGCCAGCAGCCGCGGUAAUUCCAGCUCCAAUAGCGUAUAUUAAAGUUGUUGUGGUUAAAAAGCUCGUAGUUGAACCUUGGGCCUGGCUGGCCSGUCCGCCUCACCGCGUGCACUGGUCCGGCCGGGCCUUUCCCUCUGUGGAACCCCAUACCCUUCACUGGGCGUGGCGGGGAAACAGGACAUUUACUUU
rnacentral:rRNA from 1 species